CCUACGGGCGGCAGCAGUAGGGGAUAUUGCUCAAUGGGGGGAACCCUGAUGCAGCGACGCCGCGUGGAUGAUGGAGCUUUUCGGUUCGUAAAGCCCUUUCGUCAGGGAAGAAAAUGACGGUACCUAACGAAUAAGCCCCGGCUAACUACGUGCCAGCAGCCGCGGUAAUACGGAGGGUGCAAGCGUUACUCGGAAUUACUGGGUGUAAAGUGCGCGAAGGCGGGAAUGCAAGCCAGAAGUGAAAGCCCAGGGCCUAACCCCGGAACUGCAUUUGAAACUGUAUGGCUGGAGUAUGGGAGGGGCAGGUGGAAUUCUUGGUGUAGCGGUAAAAUCCGUAGAGAUCAAGAGGAACACUGGUGGCGAAGGCGACCUGCUAGACUGUAACUGACGUUGAGGCGCGAAGGCGUGGGGAGCAAACAGGAUUAGAUACCCUAGUAGUC
rnacentral:rRNA from 1 species